UACAGAGGGGGCAAGCGUUAUUCGGAAUUAUUGGGCGUAAAGGGCGCGUAGGCGGCCUGGCAAGUGGAAGGUGAAAUCCCUCGGCUUAACCGAGGAACUGCCCUCCAAACUGCUUGGCUUGAGACCGGGAGAGGUGAGUGGAAUUCCCAGUGUAGCGGUGAAAUGCGUAGAUAUUGGGAGGAACACCAGUGGCGAAGGCGGCUCACUGGACCGGUACUGACGCUGAUGCGCGAAAGCGUGGGGAGCAAACGGG
rnacentral:rRNA from 1 species